UACGUAGGGACCGAGCGUUGUCCGGAAUCAUUGGGCGUAAAGAGCGUGUAGGCGGCUUGCUAAGUCUUGCGUGAAAUCUCGGGGCUCAACCCCGAGCGGUCGUGGGAAACUGGCAGGCUAGAGUGCGGGAGAGGAGAAUGGAAUUCCUGGUGUAGCGGUGAAAUGCGCAGAUAUCUGGAGGAACACCGGUGGCGAAGGCGGCAUCCUGGACCAACACUGACACUGAGGAGCGAAAGCCAGGGGAGCAAACGGG
rnacentral:rRNA from 1 species